UCAUCAGCAGAGGUUUCAUCGCCACAUCAUUCUGCCAUGUUACCCGGGAGGCAAUGUGCGGUGGUAUCGCUGCAUCAAAGGUCAAAGGUUGUUUGCAAGUGGCGUCCUUAAAGCAUUGGUGGUGCGAAAAAAGAUUGAAGACUAGAAAUGGAAGAUAUUUGUGGGGCGAAUGUGGAAAAUUGUACAGAAUGAUUCCACAAAGAAGGUUCCGGAUGAAGCCAUACUGAAAUAGCUGCCCUGCUCGUUGCUUUCUGCCAGCAAAGCGGUGACCCAAAGAUCCGCAGCACUAAACAAAUUGCUGCUGAUGACACAUAUUUUACUUGAGAAUUUUAACAUGUUACCCUCAGGGAGACGAUUUAGGAUUCUGAUGUGUAAAUCAAAUCGUUAUAAAAAUUCUUUUGUGCCAACUGCAGUUAAAUUAUUGAACAGAGAAUUCCAAAACUGAGAUUUUAGAUUGGUAUACAGUAGGUUUUUAAUAUAUUUGAUUGUUGCUUUAUUUCUUAUUUUAUUGCAUGUUAUGGAACGUAUUGUUUUAUGCGAGUCCAAUGUUGUUCAUUGGCCGUGUCAUGGCUGUCCAAGACAAAUUUCCCAGGAAUGGGACAAUAAAGUAUAUUCUAUUCUAUUCUAU
rnacentral:lncRNA from 1 species